GGGCAGGUCACUUGCUGCCAAUCAGAAUUCCUUUAAGUCCGCUGACACUGGUGCAGGGGGGAGAAUACUGAUACAAUACAAAAUACAAAACAUCAGAAAUAUCAGAACAGUGCACAAGGGGGCUGGGUCCAAAACCAUAGGCUUCACCAAUGGGAUCUAUGACGUAUCAGAAGAUCAUAUAGGCUGGAUUUUCCCUUUAAGAGGCACAACUGCAAAGAUAGAAAGAGAAGAUUGACAGCAGAAAAAGAUCACAUUGUCUAGUCUGCCCUUAUAUUAUCCCAGACAUGCAAGCAUUCACUUACUGGAUUUACCAACUACACUUGUUGGAAGUUUCUUCCAAGCCUCUACUUCAUCAUUGCUUCUGAUCUAGACCCCAACCUGAAAUUGUGCCCCGUGUAGGGCAGUGGUCCCUAACCCAGCCCUCAAGGCCCACAAACAUUCUGGAUUGUUACUCCAUUGGAAC